rnacentral:rRNA from 1 species
AGAGUUUGAUCCUGGCUCAGAACGUACGCUGGCGGCACGCCUAAUACAUGCAAGUCGAACGAAGUAGCAAUACUUAGUGGCAGACGGGUGAGUAACAUGUGGGUAUCUUCCCUUUGGUGAGGAAUAACACGAGGAAACUUGUGCUAAUACCUCAUAAGUCUUUACGGAGAAAGCUUUAUGCGCCAUUGGAUGAGCCUGCACUUGAUUAGUUUGUUGGUGGGGUAAUGGCCUACCAAGACAAUGAUCAAUAGCUGAUUUGAGAGGAUGAUCAGCCACAUUGGGACUGAGACACGGCCCAAACUCCUACGGGAGGCAGCAGUAGGGAAUCUUGCACAAUGGAGGAAACUCUGAUGCAGCGAUGCCGCGUGAGUGAAGAAGGCCUUUGGGUUGUAAAGCUCUUUCGUCGGGGAAGAAAAUGACUGUACCCGAAUAAGAAGGUCCGGCUAACUUCGUGCCAGCAGCCGCGGUAAUACGAAGGGACCUAGCGUAGUUCGGAAUUACUGGGCUUAAAGAGUUCGUAGGUGGUUAAAAAAGUUGAUGGUGAAAUCCCAGAGCUUAACUCUGGAACUGCCAUCAAAACUUUUUAGCUAGAGUAUGAUAGAGGAAAGCAGAAUUUCUAGUGUAGAGGUGAAAUUCGUAGAUAUUAGAAAGAAUACCAACUGCGAAGGCAGCUUUCUGGAUCAUUACUGACGCUGAGGAACGAAAGCAUGGGUAGCGAAGAGGAUUAGAUACCCUCGUAGUCCAUGCUGUAAACGAUGUGUGCUAGACGUUGGAAAUUUAGUUUUCAGUGUCGCAGCAAAAGCGUUAAGCACACCGCCUGGGGAGUACGACCGCAAGGUUAAAACUCAAAUGAAUUGACGGGGACCCGCACAAGUAGUGGAGCAUGUGGUUUAAUUCGAAGAUACGCGCAGAACCUUACCAACACUUGACAUGUUCGUCGCGACUCUAAGAGAUUAGAGUUUUCGGUUCGGCCGGACGAAACACAGGUGCUGCAUGGCUGUCGUCAGCUCGUGUCGUGAGAUGUUGGGUUAAGUCCCGCAACGAGCGCAACCCCUACUUUUAGUUGCCACCAUUUAGUUGAGCACUCUAAAAGAACUGCCAGUGAUAAGCUGGAGGAAGGCGGGGAUGACGUCAAGUCCUCAUGGCCCUUACGUGUUGGGCUACACACGUGUUACAAUGGGAGUUACAGAGGGAAGCUAAGCCGCGAGGCCAUGCCAAUCCCAGAAAAACUUUCUCAGUUCGGAUCGCAGUCUGCAACUCGACUGCGUGAAGCUGGAAUCGCUAGUAAUCGCGGAUCAGCACGCCGCGGUGAAUACGUUCCCGGGCCUUGUACACACCGCCCGUCACACCAUGGGAGCCGACAAGGGCAGAAGUCGCCGAGCUAACCUUCGGGAAGCAGGCGCCCAAGCUGUUGUUGACGACUGGGGUGAAGUCGUAACAAGGUAACC